rnacentral:Y_RNA from 1 species
GGUGGUUCUGAUGGUAGUGAGUUAUACUUAUUAAUAUUAGUGGCUGGUUAGAAGGUAUUAUCUUGAGAUUGAUUGUUCAGUUACAGAUGGAACUUCCCCCUUCUCACUUCUGCACUUAACUAGUCUUUA